UCAGGGCAACAAACAAGAAACAACUAUUUAGGCAACCUGUGAUGUUACGUGCCGCUGAGGAGAAGGUGGUAAUUGCCUCUACUCAGAGGACAAUCUAUGCUUCGUUUUAUUUUCCCUGCUCCACAAACCCCUGUGUUGGUUAAUUAGGAAAUGAAGGAUCAUGUUUUUGUCUGUUGAGGGAAAAAAAAAAAAAAAUAGAUAUGAAAGACAGAAACACACACCGGCUUCUUGAUUACACGGAGGUAUCUUUUAAUAGAAUAGGAGCUGAAACGCAGACCAGAUCAAAUGUGAUUAGCGGCAUGUUCUAUGAGAGCUGGCAAGUGGAGAAAAAUACCUGUUUUGGAACUAAUGGGAGGAGGCUUCAUGAAUUUUAAGUGUCUGCACGAGAGACACAGGCAGAGAGGAUGAGUGGGGGAGAUCAGAUCAGUUCUACACCCUCUCAAUCAUCCAGCUGUGAAGUCAAACACUCGCGCCUAGAGAUAGAGUCAUUUGUAAGAUAAAUAAAGCUAGAUGCAGCGGCCUGCCCUCCUGAACCAGACAAAGGGAGAGUAGCUGGGCGUCUCUCUCUGUCAUCUGUCGGAGGGCCGAAGCUCAGCCUAGAAACUAUCAGGAAGAUGAUGUGUCUCUGGAGACAAACACGCCUGGGGAAAGAGGCAGCUCUUAAUCAUCUGAGACCCAGUUCUCUGGCGUUUCUCUCAUUGUUACGGGACACUCCAGCUCAUGCAUACGUACCGCGUCUCCUUCGAACGCUAUUAGCAUACUUGCAAAUCCUUACAAACUGCAAUUCCGCGCUCCCAUUUAUUUUGAACCUUAAGACAAUGGCAUAUCUAAACUGAGAGUGUUAGUUAUUUCCUUCUCAGGGCUCUGCAGUGGCUUUUAUUAGGCAGUAUAAUAGCUCUCUGAGCAAGGCAAAGGCCUACGUGGCUAAUUAGAGACGUGGACUCAAACAUGGCUCAUCUCUUCAAAUAGAGUCUGGCAUGCUCGAGUGGAGAAUGACAGAGGAAAUCCAUCUCCAGUCGUCUCCGCCUCUCCCCCCCUCCAUUAGGUCUGCAUGGGAGCAGCAGCCAGCAGCCACUGUGGGCUAUUUCAGCCGGGCUGCAGAGAGGAGCCAGCAAGAUGAUCAUUUGUUACCAGUCAGUCAGGAGGCGCCGGACCACACUGAGACAGGAGGUGACUUUGUAGUUGAGGAAUUUCGGCGAUGGGCUCGCCAACACUUUGGAGGACAUUUGUUUUCGCCACUAAAAGACGGCAAACAGGUGUACUUUGAUGAGUGGGGAGCCGGCCAGACCAAUGGGAUGUUGAUGUCCUUUGGCUGAUUCAUCUAAAUCAGCGGUAAAAGAGGGGACAUUUGUUUUCAGUGGAGAGGGCUAUUUAUCAACAGUGAUUGAUAUCCAGCAACUCUGGACUGCCUCAGGCUGCGCUCAUCCAUCCGGUGCCAAUCACGAAGCUCUGCCAGAGAGAUUCACACCGCCUUCAGCGCUGGAGUCUGGCUGCUCUGACAGUCCAAGAACACUCCGGAGACUUUACACUUGUAUACAAUGCACAAUGCUAAUUCACAUGUCAUUUUACAGAGGUCUGAUAUACUGAAACAUAUGGUAACACUAGGGUACACACAUUAUCCAUCAAUUAGCUGCUUAUUUGCAUACAUAUUAGUAGCAUUUUGGCGCGUUAUUAGUGAUUAUAAAACACUUAAUAGUGAUAUUCAUAUCCAUAUGCUACAGACACCAGGCCAUUAACUGAGAUUUUCUUUCCCAAUAACCUCCUAAUUACUGUUUAUUGACAGUUAGUGAGGAAGUUUUACAUUAAUCACUAUCUUGGUAUGCUUUGCUCUCCUGUCAUUCUCUCUUCAUUACAAUAUAUAUGCUCAAUUCUUAUGUAAAAAAAGCGCAAAACUCUUUCCGUUUGAGGGCUUAAUGAUUUAAUGAUGGGCCACAGGUCAGAAAAGUAAACAACAUUCUAAUUGUAUCGUUAAAGGUGCAAUAGGUACGAAUUUUAGUUGAAAACAUUCAAAGAUGUAAUAAAAUUAUCUACAGGAUGUGUUAUAACAGUUCUGAUGUUCUGAUGUUUAUGUGUGGCUCUGCAAAGAUAUAUACCGAAGUAACCAUGCUAACCAGCGAGCUAGCUGUGUGGCUAAAUGAGCUAGCUGGCUAAUGACAGCUACAUUUUGCAGCAGUUAACGGUUACUUUAACGGUAAUACUGCCUCCUAUUUGUUUUGAGCAAAGAGGGGGCAGCAGUUUCUUCUGGGGGCUUAGAUAGUGGAAAAUGAUCAAUUUUUAGCGACUGACAUAUUCCAAGUGCAUUUUUCUCCUCACAAAAAAAUAAACAGUGAUUUUUAUUUUAGAAAGCUCUGGUGUGCCUAAUCAAACCUUAGGGAGGGCCAACUUUGGGCAGAGCUGGUUUAAAGUGUUCAAAUAACUUUAAAUGAAGUCUGUCUGUUCACUAGUACAACCUGCAUGGGUCAAUAAAUGUCGACCUACUAGUGAAUUACUUAUGAUCGAGACUUCACUGUCGAACUUAUGGGGAGUUAGAAAGAUUUAUUUGGACACUGUUAACACUGAAAUGGGUCAAACAUCCAAAUAACCAAGAUUCAUUUAUAGUUCAUUUCAUUUCAGUGAAUAGUUCUUUCACUGUGAAGCAUUAUUUAACAACUAUUUUUUGUGAUGUAAAAGGUUAUUAAAUACUGUGUAAUUCAUUUGUGAUUGUUAGAUAGCUGUUAAAAAGUUGCAACCAGUGUUCAUAAACCUUUACAACUGUUCAUGGCUAAUAUAUGUCCCUUGAUAUAAAGUAAAUAACUGCUAUAUAUUUGCAGUACCAUUAAAUCAAUAAACAUAUAAUGUAUCGUAGAUUGCACUCCAAGGCCAUUUACUGCGUGCAUGUGCCGGGGGCUUAUUCGUAUGUUCGGGUUACCAUGAAACCACUUUUACAAAUCAAGUGAUAAUCAUAAUCAGACCCAUUAAGUCCGGGCAAGCCACCCUCAACAGAGGAACAAGGACACCCCGACUCAGGAGCGAUGACUGUGUAUCAUGCUAUGCCCGGCCAUGUUGGCUGCCACUCAUUAUCAAAUGAAGAAGAAAAAGAGCUUUCUCUUGAUUAAAUCUUUGUGUGCU